GGCGCACGGGUGAGUAACGCGUAGAUAAUCUGCCCUUUAGUGGGGAAUAACUCGGGGAAACUCGGGCUAAUACCGCAUAAGACUACAGUGCCUGCGGGCACAGUGGUUAAAGAUUUAUCGCUAAAGGACGAGUCUGCGUCCGAUUAACUUGUUGGUGGGGUAAAAGCCUACCAAGGUGACGAUCGGUAACUGGUCUGAGAGGAUGAUCAGUCACACUGGAACUGAGACACGGUCCAG
rnacentral:rRNA from 1 species